rnacentral:pre_miRNA from 1 species
ACAAAAAUCACCUGGGGAUCUUGUUAAAAUGCAGAUUCUAAUUAAAAAUGUAUAUGACAGGGCCUGAGACUCGGUAUUUCUAACAAGUUCCCAAGUGAUACUAAU